AACGAACGUUAGCGGCGCGCCUAACACAUGCAAGUCGAGCGAGAAGGGAGCAAUCCCUGUAAAGCGGCGCACGGGUGAGUAACACGUAGGUAAUCUACCUCGAGGUGGUGGAUAACCUUCCGAAAGGAGGGCUAAUACAGCAUGAGACCACGUCCCCGCAAGGGGAUGAGGUCAAAGCGGGCCACUAUACAUAAGCUCGCGCCUUGAGAUGAGCCUGCGGCCCAUCAUGGUAGUUGGUAGGGUAACGGCCUACCAAGCCGAAGACGGGUAGCUGGUCUGAGAGGAUGAUCAGCCACACUGGAACUGAGACACGGUCCAGACUCCUACGGGAGGCAGCAGUGGGGAAUCUUGCGCAAUGGGCGAAAGCCUGACGCAGCGACGCCGCGUGAGUGAUGAAGGCCUUCGGGUUGUAAAGCUCUGUGGAGGGGGACGAAUAAGGGUUGGCUAACAUCCAGCCCGAUGACGGUACCCCUUUAGCAAGCACCGGCUAACUCUGUGCCAGCCGCCGCAGUAAAAC
rnacentral:rRNA from 1 species